rnacentral:tRNA from 1 species
GGAAGGGUGGCCCAAUAGGUAGGGUGCCAGUCUGGGACUUGGGGAGACCUGGGUCCAAGUCCCUGCUCCAUCA